rnacentral:rRNA from 1 species
GACGAACGCUGGCGGCGUGCUUAACACAUGCAAGUCGAACGGGAUUUAGUAGACAGAAGCCUCGGCUAAAGAUUACUAAUGAGAGUGGCGAACGGGUGAGUAACGCGUGAGCAACCUGCCUAUGACAGUGGGAUAGCCUCGGGAAACCGGUAUUAAUACCGCAUAAAAUCGUAGAAACACAUGUUUCAACGGUCAAAGAUUUAUCGGUCAUAGAUGGGCUCGCGUCUGAUUAGCUAGUUGGUGAGAUAACAGCCCACCAAGGCGACGAUCAGUAGCCGGUCUGAGAGGAUGAACGGCCACAUUGGAACUGAGACACGGUCCAAACUCCUACGGGAGGCAGCAGUGGGGAAUAUUGCACAAUGGGGGAAACCCUGAUGCAGCGACGCCGCGUGAACGAAGAAGGUAUUCGUAUCGUAAAGUUCUGUCCUAUGGGAAGAUAAUGACAGUACCAUAGAAGAAAGCUCCGGCUAAAUACGUG